rnacentral:rRNA from 1 species
GACGAACGCUGGCGGCGUGCUUAACACAUGCAAGUCGAACGGAAAGGCCCUGCUUUUGUGGGGUGCUCGAGUGGCGAACGGGUGAGUAACACGUGAGUAACCUGCCCUUGACUUUGGGAUAACUUCAGGAAACUGGGGCUAAUACCGGAUAGGAGCUCCUGCUGCAUGGUGGGGGUUGGAAAGUUUCGGCGGUUGGGGAUGGACUCGCGGCUUAUCAGCUGGUUGGUGGGGUAGUGGCUUACCAAGGCUUUGACGGGUAGCCGGCCUGAGAGGGUGACCGGCCACAUUGGGACUGAGAUACGGCCCAGACUGCUACGGGAGGCAGCAGUGGGGAAUAUUGCACAAUGGGCGGAAGCCUGAUGCAGCAACGCCGCGUGCGGGAUGACGGCCUUCGGGUUGUAAACCGCUUUCGCCUGUGACGAAGCGUGAGUGACGGUAAUGGGUAAAGAAGCACCGGCUAACUACGUG